rnacentral:rRNA from 1 species
UCGGGGCUUGCCCCGGGUGGAGAGCGGCGAACGGGUGAGGAACACGUGAGGAACCUGCCCCGAAGACCGGGAUAACACCGGGAAACCGGUGCUAAUACCGGAUGCCCUCACCGGAUCACAAGAUGCGGUGAGGAAAUGGAUUCCGCUUCGGGAUGGUCUCGCGGCCUAUCAGCUUGUUGGUGGGGUAACGGCCUACCAAGGCUUCGACGGGUAGCUGGUCUGAGAGGAUGUCCAGCCACACUGGGACUGAGACACGGCCCAGACUCCUACGGGAGGCAGCAGUAGGGAAUCUUGCGCAAUGGGCGAAAGCCUGACGCAGCGACGCCGCGCGCGGGAUGAAGGCCUUCGGGUUGUAAACCGCUUUCAGCAGGGACGAAAUUGACGGUACCUGCAGAAGAAGGCCCGGCCAACUACGUGCCAGCAGCCGCGGUAAUACGUAGGGGCCAAGCGUUGUCCGGAUUUAUUGGGCGUAAAGAGCUCGUAGGCGGUUCGGUAAGUCGGAUGUGAAAUCUCCACGCUCAACGUGGAGGCGCCAUCCGGUACUGCCGUGACUCGAGUCCGGUAGGGGAGUGUGGAAUUCCCGGUGUAGCGGUGA